CGGAUUCUUAAUUUGUCCUCUCAAAUAAUAUUUUUUUUCAUUCUCUUCAUCUUCGCAGUUGGGUGUUGCAACUUUCAGAGCAUUGCUAACCGAAUGAUGUGAUUUAUCCCUUGAUAGAGAAAUAUGCUCACAUCAGGUUAAACUACCCAGCAGAACUAAGAGCAAAAUUCACUUGCCAUGUUACAGAUGACUAAAGCCUCUCCUCCAACACUUAAAUUGGUAA